rnacentral:tRNA from 1 species
GCCGUUAUAGCUCAACUGGAAGAGCAGCAGACUCUUAAUCUGAAGGUUCAGGGUUCGAUCCCCUGUAGCGGCA